rnacentral:tRNA from 1 species
GCCGCCUUAGCUCAGUUGGUAGAGCAACGCUUUUGUAAAGCGUGGGUCCGGAGUUCGAGUCUCCGAGGCGGCUCCA